GAACUUACCCACUCUCCCAGCAAGGGGACUCUGUCCCCAUGUCCUAGGCUCUCACCCCAGUGUGAACUCAGCAGAUGGCACCCUGCCACAGGAUGUGUUGCUGGGCAUGGCAGUGCUGGGCCAUCAGGCAGCCAGACUCCAGCCAACCUCCCCGCUGCCAUGACAGGUAGCAUUGCUACAUAUGCACAUCUCCUUUUGGAAUAAAACAUGCUGGGUAUGUGGAUGAUGCUAUGAACUUCAUAUAAGGCAUGCAUAGAGAAGACCUAACUUCCUGAUUUAGAGAUAAUUUAUUUAGUCAAAGAAGACACAUAACAAAGUUACUGAGCUCAAGACUCCAGCCAGUGAGAACAAUAAUUAAACCAGUUAACAGUCCUUUGGAUUCCUUCUACACAUUGAUUUUCAACUUGUGCAUCAAAGACCUGCACUUGAUAUAUUUCCAAGACUUAGAAAAAUUCUGCUUACAGAGCCAAGUAGUAAGAUUUUCCUGACACUUAGGGUUGUCUCAAUUAAUUUUGUUCAUUCUUUGCUAUUUUCCAUGGCUGAAAUGAAGAUAGGAGAAGCAAGCACCUAAAGUUGAACAUACCAAAUAUAAUUUUAA